AUUGAACGCUGGCGGCAGGCUUAACACAUGCAAGUCGAGCGGGGGAAGGUAGCUUGCUACCUAACCUAGCGGCGGACGGGUGAGUAAUGCUUAGGAAUCUGCCUAUUAGUGGGGGACAACAUUUCGAAAGGGAUGCUAAUACCGCAUACGCCCUAAGGGGGAAAGCAGGGGAUCUUCGGACCUUGCGCUAAUAGAUGAGCCUAAGUCGGAUUAGCUAGUUGGUGGGGUAAAGGCCUACCAAGGCGACGAUCUGUAGCGGGUCUGAGAGGAUGAUCCGCCACACUGGGACUGAGACACGGCCCAGACUCCUACGGGAGGCAGCAGUGGGGAAUAUUGGACAAUGGGGGGAACCCUGAUCCAGCCAUGCCGCGUGUGUGAAGAAGGCCUUUUGGUUGUAAAGCACUUUAAGCGAGGAGGAGGCUACCGAGAUUAAUACUCUUGGAUAGUGGACGUUACUCGCAGAAUAAGCACCGGCUAGCUCUGUGCCAGCCGCCGCCGUAACAC
rnacentral:rRNA from 1 species